ACUCCUACGGGAGGCAGCAGUGGGGAAUAUUGGACAAUGGGCGAAAGCCUGAUCCAGCCAUGCCGCGUGUGUGAAGAAGGUCUUCGGAUUGUAAAGCACUUUAAGUUGGGAGGAAGGGCAGUAAGUUAAUACCUUGCUGUUUGACGUAC
rnacentral:rRNA from 1 species